ACGCGCGGAACCUUACCAGGUCUUGACAUCCUUCGCUACUUCUAGAGAUAGAAGGUUCCCCUUCGGGGGACGAAGUGACAGGUGGUGCAUGGUUGUCGUCAGCUCGUGUCGUGAGAUGUUGGGUUAAGUCCCGCAACGAGCGCAACCCUUGAUCUUAGUUGCCAGCAUUCAGUUGGGCACUCUAAGGUGACUGCCGGUGACAAACCGGAGGAAGGUGGGGAUGACGUCAAAUCAUCAUGCCCCUUAUGACCUGGGCUACACACGUGCUACAAUGGAUGGUACAAAGGGCUGCAAGACUGCGAAGUCAAGCCAAUCCCAUAAAACCAUUCUCAGUUCGGAUUGCAGGCUGCAACUCGCCUGCAUGAAGCCGGAAUCGCUAGUAAUCGCGGAUCAGCAUGCCGCGGUGAAUACGUUCCCGGGCCUUGCACACACCGCCCGU
rnacentral:rRNA from 1 species